rnacentral:rRNA from 1 species
GACGAACGCUGGCGGCGUGCCUAACACAUGCAAGUCGAACGAGAUCCAUGGGAGCUUGCUCCCGGAAGAUCUAGUGGCGAACGGGUGAGUAACACGUGAGAAACCUGCCCUGGAGUGGGGAAUAACUCGGGGAAACUCGAGCUAAUACCGCAUACCCUCGGAUGGUCGCAUGGCCGACCGAGGAAAGAUUUAUCGCUCUAGGAGGGUCUCGCGGCCUAUCAGCUAGUUGGUGGGGUAACGGCCUACCAAGGCAACGACGGGUAGCUGGUUUGAGAGAACGAUCAGCCACACUGGGACUGAGACACGGCCCAGACUCCUACGGGAGGCAGCAGUGGGGAAUCUUGCGCAAUGGGCGAAAGCCUGACGCAGCAACGCCGCGUGCGGGAUGACGGCCUC